rnacentral:ribozyme from 1 species
UUUGAUUAACUACAGCGCUCCAUAAAGUGAUACUCUCUCCUUGAAGUACCUCUUUCCUUUCUGCUACAAAGAAAAAGAAGAACCGUUUCACACU